AUUUAUUUCUAUUUAUUUAUUUUUUUUGAGACAUAGUCUCGCUCUAUCACCAGGCUGGAGUGCAGUGGCGCCAUCUUGGCUUACUGCAACUUCCGUUUUCCGGUUUCAAGCAAUUCUCCUGCCUCAGCCUCCCGAGUAGCUGGGACAACAGGCACUCACCACCACGCCCAGCUAAAUUUUUGUAUUUUUAGUAGAGACAGGGUUUCAUCAAGGUGGCCAGGAUGAUCUUGAUCUCUUGACCUCAUGAUCCACCUGCCUCGGCCUCCCAAAGUGCUGGGAUUACAGGUGUGAGCCACCACACCCAGCCAUUUAUUUCUAUUAUUUGUCCCCAUUUACCUUGCCAGGAAGAGUUGUUGAGAAAUAGCAUGAGCUACACUGUGAGGCUCCGAAGGCUCACCUGUUCCUGGCAUGGCAUUCCUAUUCCCAAGGUGCUCUCCUGGGUCUCUGACAGUCUGCUCCCUGCUAAUUGGUGCAGAUGGGAGUAGGAGGAUGAGCAGAGUACACGAGGGAAGAAGCAGAUUCUCCCAACGACGAAGCAGAGUCUCAGAGACAUUAAACAAUUUGCCCAACUUGAAGCAACUAGCAGGAGGCUUAGUCAGGAUGAGGCUGCAGGUCUCUCUGUCUCCAAGGAAAGUUUCCCAGGCAUUGACUCCACUGCCUGAAGUAGGGACCUCCAGCUCUCCUGACACCCUCCAGGAAAU
rnacentral:lncRNA from 13 species